CUAGCCCUAAACCAUCAGGACUUGGGGUGGCUCGCGUAGGCGGGUCGUCCCGUAGCUAACGCGUUAAGUCCUGCGCCUGGGGAGUACGGUCGCAAGACUGAAACUCAAAGGAAUUGACGGGGGCCCGCACAAGCGGUGGAACAUGUGGUUCAAUUCGACGCAACGCGAAGAACCUUACCUGGGCUUGAACCGCCGGCGACCAACGGUCGAAAGAUCGUCUUUUCGCAAGAAACGCCGGUAGAGGUGCUGCAUGGCUGUCGUCAGCUCGUGCCGUGAGGUGUUGGGUUAAGUCCCGCAACGAGCGCAACCCUUACUCGUAGUUGCCACCCGCAAGGGGGAACUCUACGAGGACUGCUCCGGAUAACGGAGAGGAAGGUGGGGAUGACGUCAAGUCAGCAUGGCCUUUAUGUCCAGGGCUACACACGUGUUACAAUGCGCGGCACAGACCGUUGCGAACCCGCGAGGGGGAGCUAAUCGGAAAAAACCGCGCUCAGUUCGGACUGCAGUCUGCAACUCGACUGCACGAAGCCGGAAUCGCUAGUAAUGGCGUAUCAGAUCGACGCCGUGAAUACGUUCCCGGGCCUUGUACUCACCGCCGUCGGUACAGUCGUAGA
rnacentral:rRNA from 1 species